GAUGAACGCUGGCGGCGUGCCUAAUACAUGCAAGUCGAGCGAACGGACGAGAAGCUUGCUUCUCUGAUGUUAGCGGCGGACGGGUGAGUAACACGUGGAUAACCUACCUAUAAGACUGGGAUAACUUCGGGAAACCGGAGCUAAUACCGGAUAAUAUUUUGAACCGCAUGGUUCAAAAGUGAAAGACGGUCUUGCUGUCACUUAUAGAUGGAUCCGCGCUGCAUUAGCUAGUUGGUAAGGUAACGGCUUACCAAGGCAACGAGCAUAGCCGACCUGAGAGGGUGAUCGGCCACACUGGAACUGAGACACGGUCCAGACUCCUACGGGAGGCAGCAGUAGGGAAUCUUCCGCAAUGGGCGAAAGCCUGACGGAGCAACGCCGCGUGAGUGAUGAAGGUCUUCGGAUCGUAAAACUCUGUUAUUAGGGAAGAACAUAUGUGUAAGUAACUGUGCACAUCUUGACGGUACCUAAUCAGAAAGCCACGGCUAACUACGUG
rnacentral:rRNA from 1 species